CUUGUCUCCUCUGGUGUGGCAGGAGACAUGUUGGUGGAAUCUGGGGAGGACUGUCUUUAAGUUGGUGUGGUUGAAAUUGGUGACUGAGGCCCAAACUUCUGCCUCUCAGAUCUGGGUCUUUUCUAAAUGUAGACUUGAAUUUGACCACGUAGGCGGGGUCAUCAUCUGAGCUCUCCAUCAGCCGAGAGAGAUGAAAAAACACAGGCAGAAUCACAGAGCAUGAAACCAACUUUUCUCCUCCCAGAUGUUUAGUCACAGACCUGCAACACUAACAAUAAUCAAAGAUUCAAAUGAGAAUGUAGAACAUUCAUUUACUUAUAUACACAAACAUGUCCUCUACAUAUGUCCUCGCAACUUUGGUGUUGUGUGUGGUGAGGGCGUCCCUGAGCGGCUGCUCGUUUCUGCAGAUCCUUUUGAAUCAUGUGCAGAGUGGAAAUCCAUCUGGUUGGACUGUCUUGUAGCAGUGACUCUUUCUUUUGACCAUGUUCAGUUUGUUGCUGUUCUAAUUCUGCAGUGCUUGCUGGACUGCAUUUAAAGUGGCCCACAACCUUUGUGCAUCUGGCCAGGACACUGUCAAACUCACUGUUCUGCAGAGAUACUGUGACAGAAUGUUGGAGAAAGUGCGCGAUGCAAGGCAGACGUCUGGCCUUUGACACAAAGAUCCUCCCAGUGAAAACAGGUUCCAGGAGGAGCAUCUACCAUGACUGGUUGCAGGGUGAGGGGAAAGAGAAGAGAUGAGCUCAGAGAGACAAGAACAAAACACAAACUAAGGAGAGAGAAGACAAAAGUUAAGGACAUGCAGUAGUGACAUAUAAAAGCAUCAGGAGUGAAAAGAGGGGAGUGGAGAAGACAGCAGAG